AUAAAUUGAAUAACUAAAAUUGAAUUAAACCAAUAAUCUGACAACUAAGUUAUGUGAUUUUAAUGUAGCUGAAUUGUGAACCAUAACCCAUCAAACAAUCAUGAGCCUCUAAAGAUUAAAUUGGAAUACAUAAACUUUGGGGCAUUCCCCGAGAAUAAAUAAUAUGCCAUGGAAAAUAACAUAAGCUGAAGAUAUUCGGCUACUGCUAGGAAACAUCAACUGAGCUCACCAAGUGAGUAUGCAGAGUUUGUAUCUAGCCACGUGUCUCUUCACCUACAAUCUCAACACCUGUCACACGACGUGAUAUGCCCAAACAAGCUAAGUACCACUAAAGGAUAGUAGGAUAUCCAAUAAAUCUCAAAAGCUACCUCCUAAAAAGGCGGAGCGAGACCUUCCGGAAAAGAUCAUAAUAUGAAAAGAAGUAGGUUCACAGGAUAUUACGCAAAAAGAAAAAUAAUUAAAUCUAUAAACAAGUAAUGAGCUGAAAACUAAAACUACAAGCUGUACUAUAAAACUGACAAUUGAACCUGGUAAUUGAAAAUGAAGCUAAAAACUGAGUUAUUUUUAAAGAGAUAACUUUUCAAAAUAAUUACACAUAGUGUCCCUGUAUACGUGAGAUAUGGCAACACGCAUGGGGGAGUGUCGGCCUAUCUCCCCAACAAACAAUAGCCCCUACGAGCAUGGGGUAGCUAUACCUAGCCCUAGUGGCACUCACGCAAGGGGAGGUCGGCUAGCUCUCCCUUUUGAAUGUGAUCACAUUAAUACAUGAAUGAAUGCUGAAACUGAAUACUGAAUUGAAUGUAAAUAUCACAAACAACGACACAUAACAAGUGAUAAUACACGUAAUCAUGUAAUUCUGUCAUAUGUAAAGUGGUACUAAGUAAGAACAAAAUAAAUUGAGUAAAAAAGUACAAGAAGACAAUGCUUUAAGAAUUUCAUCGAAUACAUGGAACACAUGGGUUCUAAUAGAAUUUCUUAUUAGGAGAGUAAGCCUUAAAACUUACCUCAAAUUUACGCGCAUAUUCGCAUGUUCAACUUCUACGAGUGUCCAGGGAGAUCUAUAAAUAUUAGGGCCAAAUAAAUCAAAAUACAGUCAACUAGUUUAAUUUAUCAAAAUUGAGUUAUUACCCUCAGACAUGAAUUACCCAAUUCUCAACUGGGCGAAUUCUCAUCUUCGGGUUUGAUUUUAAUGUGUGUAACUUAUCUUUCUUAACCAUGUCAUAUCUCAGAGGGUAGUAAUCAUAAAGUAUGAUCAGUUAAUACCUUGUACGCGACAGCGCUGAAAAUACCAGUGUAUGAGUUUCUUGAUUUUUGUUCUUUCUGAGAAAAACAAAUCCAUGCGCUUUCUAUCUCUUAUUCAAUUUUCUAAACCCCUCUAGCAUUGAUGAACCAGUUGGCAGAAAACUUACGUAGCCUCUCUGUAGCAUUUUUCCUUUGGAAGCAAUUAUUCCC
rnacentral:lncRNA from 1 species